rnacentral:rRNA from 1 species
AUUGAACGCUAGCGGGAUGCUUUACACAUGCAAGUCGAACGGCAGCGCGGACUUCGGUCUGGCGGCGAGUGGCGAACGGGUGAGUAAUGUAUCGGAACGUGCACAGUAGCGGGGGAUAACUACGCGAAAGCGUGGCUAAUACCGCAUACGCCCUACGGGGGAAAGCAGGGGAUCGUAAGACCUUGCACUAUUGGAGCGGCCGAUAUCGGAUUAGCUAGUUGGUGAGGUAACGGCUCACCAAGGCGACGAUCCGUAGCUGGUUUGAGAGGACGACCAGCCACACUGGGACUGAGACACGGCCCAGACUCCUACGGGAGGCAGCAGUGGGGAAUUUUGGACAAUGGGGGCAACCCUGAUCCAGCCAUCCCGCGUGUGCGAUGAAGGCCUUCGGGUUGUAAAGCACUUUUGGCAGGAAAGAAACGUCGCGGGCUAAUACCCCGUGGAACUGACGGUACCUGCAGAAUAAGCACCGGCUAACUACGUG